rnacentral:misc_RNA from 1 species
CUCGAGAAUGGACCGGAGCUAGAGCAGAUAAUUCCUACUUGCAACAUUUUAGCAACCAUCCUUUCAAUUUUACCCUUCUACCAAUUACUGUAGUGGUAAGGGCGAACACUAACAAGAGAAAUUCCUUGUUGAAGAGGCAAGGCAUGGUCUAUUGGUCGACUAGGUGGGAAAGUAGUCGCCUUUGCGAAUACAGACUCAUAUUCUUGCAAUAGAGUUUGCAAUUUGUCAUUUUGAUAGGGCAAUAAUUCGAAUGCCUGUAAUUUCAUAUCAAAACAAGAAGAGAUUUUCCAAACUAAUGCAUAGUACUCCACUUCUGUUAGUCAACAUAGAGAAGAUAGGGAAACUAGUCUUAGUAAGGGAAGGGUUACCUCGCAAGGUUAUAGUUGCCCUAGCAUAUUGGAAUGACAUUGUCAUCUAAGCCUAAUUAACCUUAACGUCACCCAAUGUUGGCAGCCAAGCCACACCCAGAAUGAUAUCGAU